GGUAGAUGAAGCUGGAUAUCAUUGAGCUGGACCUAAACAUCGCUUCAACGGCACUUGUGAUUAUCGUCAGCAUAACAGCGAUUCUUGUGCUUGGCACACUCAUUUGUUUCCUUCCAGGCACAAGCAUAUGGUGAUCAAUCCACACAUUCCAUAAUCCCAGCAAUAAAAGAUACUGUGGGUUCGAUUUAUAGUCCAUCAUACCCAGGACAACAGUUCCCUUGAUGUCUAACCACAUAAGCGAGUCAUUUACCAUUUACUUUUUGUACUGCUGUAUUCACUUGUCUUAAAGAAGUUCAUUGAUUAAAAGCUUGAUAAUUAGAUUUUUGCAAGGAUUUAGUUUUUCCUAUAGCUCUGGUAUUUCAAAUCUGAUACUGCAUUUGAGUGUUUUUGUCUUUUUAUGUUGCUAGGUUUGAUGCCAAAAUUAUCUUUUCUUUCUUUUCAGAUUUUCAAACAGUUAUCAAAAUGGA
ensembl:lincRNA